AUAAAUCAAGCUUAAGUUAGGAGUUGCCAAAUAUAUAUCUAAACUGAUAAGAUCUCAGCUCUGUUUCAUAAGAUUAUGUCCAAAGGAAGCCCAUCUGUGUGGACUUUUUGUUUUAAAGGCCACAUGGGUGGGCGGGAGAUGACAACAUGAUUAUGAAGCCUCAACAAACUAACUACAAAUGAAUAGAAACAGUGAAAUCAAGCUACAGAUGGGCGUCAAAUCAGCAUCAACCAACAUAAACUUUCUUAGUAAGGUGAAUAGUUUUAGUGUUCUUUGAGUUUCUGAACUCUACUGGAGGGAUGAACACCAUUCUAUCAGAAGAUGUUCACUCAAGUGGUGUUUUGGUGAUGGAGAGGGCUAUCUAUCAAGGCUGACAAAAAGGUGUUACAUCGGGUUGAGAUCUGGUGGUGAAGGCCAUAUAAGCAUGACAGACUGAUUGAACCAUUCAGUGCCCCUCAAAAAAAGUUUCAUCAUAGGAUAAAGUUGCUCACAUCUUUUCCCCUCUUGCUAUUUUGAUGUUUCUCAGCAUUCGGAUGAUUCAGAUGUUCAUUGUGUUCAAAAAUCCAGAUUUUAGAGUUGUUAUUGCAGUUUGUGGAAUUGAAAACAACUUGUGCAGCUGCGUCCAUUAUAUCCAUAUUGGCUGCCAUUUCUUUUGAUGCUAUUUACAUGGAUAUGGCUGUGUUAAUCCCACCUACAAAGCUCUGAUUGGUUGACUUUUUAACCAACAAUGGAAAACUGCAAAUUCCCACCAGCUGCAUUAACUUGCUCCUCAGAUUAUCCCAUUUCCAGAGUUGGGAAGUCGUUCAUCCGACUUCGGUGUGUUCAUGUGCUUUACGUCGUAAAAAAGAAGAGAAUUUAAACAUGUUGAAAGCUGUUUCUGCAUGAAAACGAAAAGCAAAGGAAACUGUGAGCCACGACUUGUUGCUGCACCAGUACAUUCCCUAAAACCACAAAAAUAUUGCUUGUUAUCAGGCUUAAUGCAAAUAAAUACCUUUUCUAACUAAUCUAGGUCACUCUACGUAGACAGCUACUAACGGUUAACAUUACAACCUAAUACCAUAUUACAAAUUACAUGUGAGCAAAACCUUGAUAUGCAAUACGUGAAUUAAUAAAACGCUUUUUACCAUUAACCCAACAUUUACUUUCGUCCGCCAUGUUACUGUGUAAUAUGACGUCAACUCUUGUUGUUCCGACUUAAGUGUUCACAUACAUUUUCCCAGUCUGGAACUAAUUAUUCUGACACUACAUGAACGCAGCAUUAAACACGCCAUGAUUUCCCAUCGGAUUUCAAACAUGCUCAUAAUCACUACUUUAUUUUAAACCCAUUGGAAAACCUUGUUGCCAGGGAACAUUUGAUUUUUUUUCUUUCUUACCCUGUUGCCCACGUUGUUGCCUGUUGCUAGGAGUGUCGCCCAUCUGCACUGUUUAUCACCCACUGUAGUGUUUGUAGAAAUGAUUUACUCGGCAGCUCUCACAUGCCGACUAGUGCAUUGACAUUCUUUUGUUUGGUUUAGACUGUGUAAUCGGAGUGAAAUAACGUCUCCAUCAGUUUUAUUUAUUAUUUAUGUUAUUGUUUUUUUAUGAGGGACAAUCUCUCUUCUUAACCAAGAGUGGAUGAUGCUAAAGAAAUGAUUUACCGUUGAGGAAAUAUUUCUAUUUCUGUCUGACUAAAAAAAGUGUGCAUUUCAGAAACAAUUGUGUUGUGGAAGUUUGUUUGAAAUAUGAUUUUCUGCGCUCCCAUGCAGUGAAAUGGCUUAUUUUUAGGCCAGAGCGACAAGCAUCAGAAUUUAUGCCUUUUUCAAGAUGAGCGUGACGGCAGUGGUUAGUCAUGCAGCGUGGAGAAUUUAGAUCAGAAGUUAAGGAAUAAAUGUAAGUCAGUGGAGUAUAACUCA